rnacentral:lncRNA from 1 species
GCAAUUUGGCAAUUAAAGGGGGCAACAAAAAGAGAAACCCUAAAAAGCUUAUUAGUUUUUCUUCUCCCUCACCCGGAGCCGCCACCCCCCAUCCGGAUCAGAUUUUUAUCUUCUUCUCCCUCACAAGGCUGCCCCCUCCCUUGGCCAAAAAGAAGGAGAACCAAAGCCACAGGGACUUCCCUUCUGCCUCUCUCCAUCUCACUAUCUUCUCCCUCAACCGGCCCCUCAGCCCCCACACACCCAUCUCCUUCUCACAGCAGCCGACCACCACAUCCGAAGACCAGCCUCUUCCUCUUCCCCCACAAACCAGCCACCCCAAGACUCGACACCGCCUGACCUUCCCUUCUCCUCCGGCCGUUGCUCUCCCUCUCAGCCAAGACAGACCGAGCAGCCCCCCCACAAACCAAGCCACCGCAGCUCUCCUUUUCCUUCCUUCUCCCACAGCAGCCGUCGCCUGGCCAGCCCCCAUCCCCCGUUUUGGAUUUUUUCUCUUCUCCCUCAACCGGACAGCCGAUCUUCCCGACCCUCACAAAUCAGCCUCACCGAACCCCACUGACCAGACGAUUUUUCCUCCUCCCUUGCCCUCUGCCAAACACAAACCAGGCCACACCCUUUUUCUCCUUCACCGCAGCUUCAACAGCCCCAGCUCGCCAAGAUCGAGCCGGCCGCCCCCUCACCAGACCUUUGCUCCCCCAACCUUUUCCCUUUGGCUGCUCCUUCUCCCUUAAACCAGCCACUCGAAGAUCCCACUCAAUCGUCCCUCUCCACCGCCAGAAGUCCUCUGCCUGCCUCAACGUCGGCCACAGGAGAAAGAGAGGAGAAAUGAGCCGAAGCUUGAGGUGGUCUCUUCACCUUGCUUAAUCCUCUGCCUGCCUCACCGCCAGCCGAAAGAAGAAAGAAGGGUCGGCGAUCUACCCGAUCCAGUGGGUAACCGACCGCACGAGUCGCCGGUGAGCCACUCAACACUCCCCAACAGAUCUGCUAGCCGAGGAAGAAGGAGAGAGAAGCAGAUCUAAACAGAUCUAAGGAGAGAAUCGACUGUGUUGUUGCGUUUUUGUGUGUUUUGCAGGUGAAGGUGAUCUUCACCGCCGACGAGGAAAAGAAGAGGGGAAGAAGUCGAUCCAGACCCCUGCUGCUUUUUUGUUUCUUGCGGCGGCGCGUGAACCCACGCGCCGCCAGUGACGGUGGCGCGUGGAGAAGACGCGCCACCAUGAGUUCUGGCAGUUCCAGAGGGUCCUCAAUGCAAUUUCGGGAGUUUUAGGGACUGUUUUUGUAAAUUUUAAAUUAUGUAAUGUAAUUUUUGUUUAGUGUUGAAUUUUUUUAAUUUGUAAUGUGGAUGUAACAAAAAAAAAGAAAGAAAAAGAAAAGAAAAGAAAAAAUAUAGUGAAAGUGUAUGUGUGUUUGUAUUUUUUUUAUGUAUGUUAUUGAGAUAAAAAAUGAAUUUAAUAUUUUAAUUUAUAUGCUCAAAUAUCUAAAGGACAGAUAAAAAUCAUGUAUUUUCCAUAAAAAUGUAGAACAUGUAUCUACAUAUAUUUUGGGAACUAAUAACUGAUUUAUCGAAGCCUUAGAAUUGGGCUAAAAUUUUUAUUUUUAAAAACACAUCAAGUCCACGAAGCAGCUUACCUCAGGUAGGGUGCGUUAGGGGUGCUAAUACCUUCCCUAACCACAACCAGUCCCUUACCUAUGAAUCUCUGACAAGAUCAGUACAUUCGGUUUCCUAGUAGCCCGCAAUCAAUUACUAGGUGGCGACUCCAACGAACCAAUCAAAUCAAAUCAAACAUAACAAAUGAAAAAAUCGCCAGCCGAUGCCGCGCUGAUUUUUUGACGUGCGACAGAAUGGCGACUCCACUGGGGAAGGUAUUGUUUUCAACACUAUUGGACUAAGCUUUGUGUUUUUGAUGCGUUUAUGUUUUUACAAUUUUGUCCUAUUUUAUUUUUUGUUUUAUCCAUGCAUUGUAUAGAAUUGUCUCAUGCAUCACAUGUUUUAAUUUUUUAAAGCACACACAAGCUUCAGGUUAGGAGGGGGACUAGCAGCUUACCUUAUGACUUUUAGUCAAGGUUUAAGUUUGUGUAAACCCCAACUCUUCGUUGAGUGCUUAGACUGGUAAUAGUUGGACAUGUGCCAUCUCAUUGCCUACAAGCCCCCAUAUUGCCUCCACGAGGGCAAUCACUGGGACAACAAGAGACCCUUUUUAGAGACCAAGUAGUAAACCUACCUUUUGUCUCACUUAAAAAGAUUAGAACCUGCCUUUAUGAUAUGUGCUCCGUAUAUAUUGUUUUGCAUCAAGGCAAACCCUUCUUGAAGCAUCUUGAACUCAAGACUUUUGGGUGACCCAAUGGCCGUCACUCAGGAAAUUUUCAUUGUAGAGUUUGGGCAAGAAUCAAGAUUCUUGUUUCAUCAUACAAGAGUUACGACCAUAUGUCACCCCUCGAAAGGCGAGUUCUUCAUAUAGUUUACAUGUUCAUACAUCUAUCAUGCAUGUACCGGGAGGAAAAAUAGGUUCCCCUGUCCGAGGUUUACUACACUGGAUGGAAAAGGAUGGAUAAUAAAGAAAAGGGUCAGAGAGAAGCACAAAAUCAAAGGAAAGUUGAGAGCAUCAAAGGUGAAGUAGCUAGGCUCAGAUCUGCCUGAACAAGUGUUGAGCAUCAAAUGGAAAGAGAAUGUCUGCACAAUCUUCUGUGGAAACACUGCUUGUCCACGUCCAAGUGAAGCUGCACCUCUCCAUUUCAGUCCUGAACAACAAUAGCAAUGCCUUCAGUCAUCAGCUAAUGACAACUUUUGUUUUUGGUCAGCUGCCCUGUUAAUUGUUCAUCGCCUCCACAUCUUUCAAUGGUACCAAAUAACUGCUAGCCUUCUGUGCAUGGUGUAUUAGCCUUCUUUGACGUUAUCCCAACUGUUAGUUCAAUUCCAGUUCAGCAGCACAAGAUGUAAAAAAAAAAAAAAAACAAAAAAAAAACCUCGAAAAAAAAAAAAAAAAAAAAAACUGAAAAAAAACCAUGAUUAGACACUGAACUUCUACGUUGCAGAGCUCUCUCUGUAGAGAUUCGUUUGUGGCUCUGCAAGUGGGGAAUGCAAGAGGGAAUGUAGUAUUUUCAUAUGCUACAAAACUUUGCCCCAUCAAUUUCAGAACCGAAACACUGGAGUAGGCAGAAGGGUCACACCUGGUCUGAAAACAUGAGCCGUCAUUAAACUUCAACGCGGCAGAGCUCUCUCUACAAAAAUCUGUUUGUGGCUCUGCAAGUGGGGAAUGCAAGAGGGGAUGCAGUACUUUCAUAUGCUACAAAACUUUGGCUCAUCAGUUUCAGCACUGAAACACUGGAGUAGGCCGAAGAGUCAGACCUAGUCUGAAAACAUGAGCAGUCGUCGAACUUUGACGUGGCAGAGCUCUCUCUACAAAAACCUGUUUAUGGCUCUGCAAGUGGGGAAUUCAAGAGGGGAUGUAGUAGUUCUAGACAAUGUGAAAAGUUACCCCACCAGCUUCAGCAUCGAAACACUGUAGUAGGCAGAAAAGCCAGACUUGAGCUAGAAAACAGGAGCAAAUAUAGAACUUCACCGUGGCAGAGCUCUCUCUGCAGAAACCUGUUUGUAGAUCUGCAAGUGGAGAAUCCAAGAAGGGAUGCAGUAGUUUCUGAUCAUCUAUAAUUUUCUCUCAUCGGUGUUAGCUUGAAAAUGCAAAAGAAGGGAAAAGAGACGGCUGAAAAAUAGAAAGAAGAUUGAAACUUCAACAGAGCAGAGCUCCCUCUACAGGUGUCUGUUUGCUGCACCAUCAGUGAGGAAUCAAAGAGCAGACAAAGGAGUUUUAGAUUCAUCAAGUUCUCUUCCAGUUUUGACAAUGUGUGAUUCCACACGUCGGCAGUGGCAAUGCUGCAAGUCUCCGGGUGCUGCCAAGAUUACCUAGCUACUGGAAGGUUUCCAACAAUCCACAAACGACCACAACAACAUUGAAAGAAUGACAUGAUGUUGUGAAGAUCAUCGAAAGAAUUAAGCUAGCUAUGAAGAUGAGAAGGAUUGAAGGUUCUGUCAAGAAUUCCAGAACAAUGAUGAGAGAUGAAUCAGGAGAUGACUCUGAAGAUGAGAAACCAUAGUUACUUGGUUUAGUCAAGUCUCACUGUAGCACCAGCUACUCAAGUGUCUUUGCCAAGAUUGACAUCUUUCUGCCACCCAAGUUGGACUACUAGCAUCUGUCAGAUUCCAGACUUUUUGCCUGACUCUGUUAAAUCCCAUGCAACCACUGUUUCUUAUGUGAUAUAAUCCAAACAGGAGAUUUGAAUAUCAUGGGGGGAUUUCAGGCCAUUCAGUUGAAUAAUUGCAAGAAUCGAGUCCGCAAAUUGGUGAGCAAAAGACGAGAGGAAUCUGUGAAGGAGCUUGUCAUUGAUCAUUUUGUCGCCAGAACAUCCUCAGAAUGACGAGUGAUCGAAAUUGCUCGGUAAACACAGAUAUUGCCAGAAUAGUUGAUCCAAGAAGGGCGUUGAACUGUCAAUCAUGUUGUUAUGGAAUUUUUGCCAUUCUGCAUUUUGUUUUGGGGUCACAUCUCAUCCUUGAACGAAACAUGUCUUUUCUUUGUCUUUUUGUUGUUUUGAAAUCAAGAGAUGCUUCUUUCAAAGGGUAUUUUGACAAAAAUAUUUUUUUGAUCAAACUCCAACAUACAAAAUUAAAGCUAGUCAAUCCUGAAGAUUAAAAGUGUUUUGAUUGCGGAAAUGACUUUAUGCUUGAAAAUGACAUGAGGUGACCAAACAAUUUUGAACUCAUAUCUCCUGAAACUGAACAACACAUCAUAUAACUAAGUUUUAGCAGUAUGCAUAAUGACAUGUAGUGGAUUCGGUAGUUAUGGACUCGUGAAUCAUGACUCUUACAAGUCCAAAUCAUUACACUGGAUGAGGUCAAAAUUUAUCGAUUCUAACCGACCUUGCUUGAAAUGAGAAAAGGCCAUCUUUGUUAUCCUUUCACAUUUCUUGAAAUAUUAUCCCUUGCAGUCCCAUUUUGAGCCUGGUAAAAUAUUUUCUUUCAAGAAAACCCUGACUAGGAUCACACCCUACACCGGGGCAAAUGAGAGAUAUUUUGAAGACACUGAUAGGAUUGAUGAAUAAAAGAAAAGACUUAGAACAAAAGCCCAAUGAUUGAGAAAGGGCUAGAACAAAAAAGUCAUAGAGUGAAGGGCAUCCAAGAAAACUUUGAGAAAGGCUAUGUAAAAGUAAAAAAAAAAAGUGGAAAUGAAGGAGAAUGCCUAUCAAUUCUAAGAGGGGCAAAAGAGGUUUCAAUGGAAGAAAGACACAACAAAUGCCAAAAGUCAACACCAAAAAAAUCAAGUUUCAUGUCUUUUGGUGUGUCUAGGAUAAAGCCUUUAGUGUCUUCAAAAAAAUUUUAGAUUCAUUAUUCAUCAGAGAAAAAGUUGGAUUAGCAUUAUGACCUAUGUUAAGAGAAUUCUGAUCUUUGAGAUUAACAGGGUUAUAUGUCACUUUCUCCACAACGACAACGAGAAAGAGAGUUGAUGAAUAGUUGAUGUUGAUCCUAGGUCGUUGAAACCCUCAAACACCUUUUGAGCCUGUGAAUUUCCCUUCUUUCAUAAGCCAUGAACCAUAGCCUGUAUUACGUGCUUUUAAAAGCCCUUUUUAAUCAAGUAAGCAAUCUGAACCGAUAAAUGGCGCUUCAAAACUUGAAGAGCUUUUCCAUAAGAGUCAUAGCUUCAUGGAUUAAGCUACUGGUUAUUAUGCAUGCUGACAAAAUUGGUAAAAAAAAAAAACAAUCUUUCUUGAUGAAUCCUCAAGUUUUGACUUGAGUCUUUUGUUUUUUGAAAUUCACAUAAAGGUCACCUCAUCACAAACCAUCAAAAGAUAUACCCCAAAAUCAAAGUCUAAAAUGGAUACAAAGAACCAUGAAAAAAGUCAUUUUAAACUUACAAUGGGUCAUUUCUGUUUUCAAAAUACAAGACAAUCAAAGGACUAUAUUGAAUAGUGUGUGUUGGGUCUUUGACAAAAAAGCUUGAUUUUCAAAAGAUCUUUUCCAAAACUGAUAUCUCUUUGAUUUCAUUUCAACAAUUAGACUUGAAUUGACAUGAUCUUUGAAAUAUGAGAUUUGAUUCCAGAACAAGAAAGAUUGUCGAACAAUGAAGAACAUCGAGUGAGUCUGCGAAAUAUUUGACAUGAAAUGACAUCAACUCUUCUCAAUACUCCUUGAAAAAUUGAGACACCUGGAGGCAAUACAAUGGAUCAUGGGUAUGAAAACAAACAGUAUUCAGAUCAACUAGGGGCAAUGAAAGAUGAUCAAAUGAUGAAUCAAUGCACUGAGGACAACGGUGUUUAAAGAAAUGCUAAUCAGCAGAACAAGCAUUCAGAUCAUUAUUGGGGGCAAUGUUGUUCAAAAACAUUCCAUGAUCUAGUGAACUCUAGCAGCAAUUGAAAACAACACUGCAAUUAAGGGACAACCUCGUAUCUUCAUCUUGGGGUUACCCUUUGAAACAUGGCUAUGAAAAAUGUUAUCGCAUCGUUGCAUUGGAAUGAAUGUCAGAAAGAUGCACACCACCAAGAUUGACUGUGGGACCAUCUAUUCUGAAGCUCAAAUGUGCACUUCACCGUAUGAAUAUGGGUGAUAACAUGAACAUCAUUGAUGAUGUCGAGACAUUUCUUUCCACUAUCUGAUUUGACGAGCUGAGAGGAAUCCAUGAGAAAGAACAUUGAGCAUACAACGAUGAGUCUUUCACUGCAAGCUAUGAGAUGCAUGUCUGGACGACUGGAUGAUUUCCAUGAAGACUGAUGAUAACAUAUACUUGAAGAGUAUUGUUUCAACUUGAGGAAAGUUUAUGACUGAUUAACAAUCUUGAUGGGUGUUGGCAUGAUGCACACAACCAAUCGAAAGAUAAUUUUCAGAAGAAUCUAGGAGAGAAAAUCCUGCAUGAUGAAUCAAGCAACACCGCACUUGGGGGCAGAGUCAAGCUUGAUAAACCACAAGAGCAGUAACCGUCGAAGACAGCCCAGGAUGUGCACUGCACUUACAACUGAGUGGAUGGCUAGCACAUGAAUGAGCCAAUGCAUCGAAAGAACCAAUAAAGCUUUGGAAUGCAAACAAAGGCACCCUGUGAUGAUGGAACAUCGAAGAGGGGGGACCUAUAUUUCGAAUCAGGUAAGGAGGCAUGCAUGUCAGCUAACGUUAAAACAUUGUACAUAUUUUUUAUUUUGUUGCAGGAAAAAUCCUCAAUGUAGUUUAGCAAGAUUGGGGACCAAAAAAAAAGAGAAAAAAAAAAGAAGAAUCAUUGAGCUGAUAAUAACAGAGAAUCAUGGUUAUGACCUUGGAACGGGAAGAAGAUGAGAUAAGCCUUACUGUUAGGAAAAUCUCAAAGAAAUGAAAAGAUCAACCUUGCAAUCAGGAAGCAUCGAUUUUUCAAACCCUGCGAUCAAGAAUUAUCAAGAAGCACCAAGUUUUCCGGCCCUUCUUCUAUCAUCCCUUCAGGACUUCGCCAGGUAAGUCCCAUUUUUCACACUUGUCACAUCACAUCUUUCAUUUGGGUAGGUCACCCAUAACAAUGAGACCAUUUCACAUUUUUUCUAUCCUCCACAUGGGUAGGUCACCCAUAAUAAUGAGACCGCUUCAUAUUUUUCUCAUCUUCCAUCUGGGUAGGUCACCCAUUACAAUGAGACUGCUUCAUAUUUUUUCUAUCCUCCACCUGGGUAGGUCACCCAUAACAAUGACACCACUUCACAUUUUUUCUAUCUUCCAUCUGGGUAGGUCACCCAUUAUAAUGAGACCGCACUUCACAUUCUUUCCGUUUGGGUAGGUCACCCAUCAUAAUGAGACCGUUUUCCACAUUAUUUUUCUUGGGUAGGUCACCCAUACAAUGAGACCAUCAUUUUUCUUGGGUUCGUCACCCAUACAAUGAGACCAUCAUUUUUCUUGGGUUCGUCACCCAUACAAUGAGACCAUCAUUUUUUCUUGGGUUAGUCACCCAUACAAUGAGACCAUCAUUUUUCUUGGGUUCGUCACCCAUACAAUGAGACCAUCAUUUUUCUUGUGUUCGUCACCCAUACAAUGAGACCAUCAUUUUUCUUGGGUUCGUCACCCAUACAAUGAGACCAUCAUUUUUCUUAGGUUCGUCACCCAUUACAAUGAGACCAUUUGUUCCACAUUCUUUGUUUUGGUUUAAUGAGGUCGCCAGAUGGGAUCUCAUGUAGCUUUGGUUAAAGGGAAUCGCCAGAUGGGAUUUCAGGUUAACCGAGUUACGUAACAUCUUUUAGUUUUGGUUUAAUGAGGUCGCCAGAUGGGAUAUCAUGUAGCUUUGGUUAAAGGGAAUCGCCAGAUGGGAUUUCAGGUUGACCGAGCUACCACACAUUUUUUAGUUCCAGUUGAAUGAGGUUGCCAGAUGGAAUCUCAUGUAGCUUUGGUUAAAGGGAAUCGCCAGAUGGGAUUUCAGGUUGACCGAGCUAUCACACAUUUUUUUAAGUUCAAGUUGAAUGAGGUCACCAGAUGGGAUCUCAUGUAGCUUUGGUUAAAGGGAAUCGCCAGAUGGGAUUUCAGGUUGACCGAGCUACACACAUUUUUUAGUUCCAGUUGAAUGAGGUUGCCAGAUGGAAUCUCAUGUAGCUUUGGUUAAAGGGAAUCGCCAGAUGGGAUUUCAUGUUGACCGAGCUACCACACAUUUUUUUAAGUUCCAGUUGAAUGAGGUCGCCAGAUGGGAUCUCAUGUAGCUUUGGUUAAAGGGAAUCGCCAGAUGGGAUUUCAGGUUGACCGAGCUACCACAUUUUUUAGUUCCAAUUUAAUGAGGUCGCCAGAUGGGAUCUCAUGUAGCUUUGGUUAAAGGGAAUCGCCAGAUGGGAUUUCAGGUUGACCGAGCUACCACAUUUUUUAGUUCCAAUUUAAUGAGGUCGCCAGAUGGGAUCUCAUGUAGCUUUGGUUAAAGGGAAUCGCCAGAUGGGAUUUCAGGUUGACCGAGCUACACACAUUUUUUUAGUUCUGGUUAAAGGGGAUCGCCAGACGGGAUCUCAGGUUAGCCCAACCACACAGAUUUUUGUUUUUGGUUCAAGGAGAUCGCCUGAUGGGAUCUCAGGUUAAAAAAAAAAAAAAAAAAAAGGGGAAAGAAAAUGAAAAAGAGAUAAAGAAGGAAAGGAGAAGGAAAAAAGAAAGAAACAUUUAGAGUUUUUCUUUACAAAGCUUACUAUGCGAAACAUUGAGGAGUUUUGCUUCGUAAGCAUUGUAAAGAGGGGGCAUCUGUUGCUACCCAAUUUUUGACCCAUGUUUUGAUAAAUUUUCAGAAAAAUCCAAAAACAACGAAAAACAUUGAAAAUCCAAAAAAUACAUUUUUAAUACAUUUGCAUCAUUUUUAGCAUUUUUCAGCGUCGUCUAAAAAGAAUUUAAAUUUUCCAAGGUCUUUCGAACGCGUUCAAUUUUUAACGCGUUAAUUUUAAAAUCAUUGAUUUUCCUUAUUGAGUCGACGUUGAUAUUGCUCGCUUUCAAAAAUACAAAAAAAUAAGAAAAAUCAAAAUUUACAAAAAAAAGAGGAAAAGAGAAGGAAAGGAAAAGUUGAGGGACUAGUUUGAAAACAUAGCAAAACGUUUCCUAUAAAUAUCAUGCUACACUGAAUUUUUAAGGGGGGGCAAUUUGGCAAUUAAAGGGGGCAACAAAAAGAGAAACCCUAAAAAGCUUAUUAGUUUUUCUUCUCCCUCACCCGGAGCCGCCACCCCCCAUCCGGAUCAGAUUUUUAUCUUCUUCUCCCUCACAAGGCUGCCCCCUCCCUUGGCCAAAAAGAAGGAGAACCAAAGCCACAGGGACUUCCCUUCUGCCUCUCUCCAUCUCACUGUCUUCUCCCUCAACCGGCCCCUCAGCCCCCACACACCCAUCUCCUUCUCACAGCAGCCGACCACCACAUCCGAAGACCAGCCUCUUCCUCUUCCCCCACAAACCAGCCACCCUAAGACUCGACACCGCCUGACCUUCCCUUCUCCUCCGGCCGUUGCUCUCCCUCUCAGCCAAGACAGACCGAGCAGCCCCCCCCACAAACCAAGCCACCAC